rnacentral:tRNA from 3 species
GGGGGCGUAGCCAAGCUGGUCUAAGGCACCGGGUUUUGAUCCCGGCAUUUCGAAGGUUCGAAUCCUUCCGCCCUUGCCA